AACGCACAUUGCGCCCGCCAGCACUCUGGCGGGCAUGCCUGUUCGAGCGUCAUUUCAACCCUCGAGCCCCCCCGGGGGCCCGGCGUUGGGGGCCGGCCCUGGCCGCCCCCGAAAUGCAGUGGCGACCUCGCCGCGGCCUCCCCUGCGUAGUAGCACACACCUCGCACCGGAGCGCGGAGACGGUCACGCCGUGAAACGCACCAGCCUUCAAGAGUUGACCUCGGAUCAGGUAGGAAUACCCGCUGAACUUAA
rnacentral:misc_RNA from 1 species